rnacentral:misc_RNA from 1 species
UGUACACACCGCCCGUCACACCAUGGGAGCGGGUUCUGCCAGAAGUAGUUAGCCUAACCUGCAAAGGAGGGCGAUUACCACGGCAGGGUUCGUGACUGGGGUGAAGUCGUAACAAGGUAGCCGUAUCGGAAGGUGCGGCUGGAUCACCUCCUUUCUGGAAAUAUGCAAUCGCAUUUCUUACGCCCAUUCUUAUCGGCUGUUGUUUAAAACAACAGCAAAUGGCUUCAGUUAAAUUCAAUUUAUCUAAUUGGUGCCGCCUUCAAGAGUUCAUCGCUGAAUUCAGAGGGUCUGUAGCUCAGCUGGUUAGAGCACUGUGUUGAUAACGCAGGGGUCGUUGGUUCGAGUCCAACCAGACCCACCAAAUCGGGUUUGAAGAAUUUUGAGAACUUGAAUCCCGGGGGAUUAGCUCAGCUGGGAGAGCACCUGCUUUGCAAGCAGGGGGUCGUCGGUUCGAUCCCGUCAUCCUCCACCACUUAUCAGUAUCUGCCGGAAAAUAACGGUGCAUACGAAAUUUAUUAAUGCAAAGUACUCUCUUUGAGAGUGCUUUGUGUUGAUUGAUUUAUUAAUUUAUAUCAAUUGAUUAUUGGCUGUUCUUUAAAAAUUCAUAGAGUUAAAUCAGCGCUGCUAGCGGAAACUGCACAUUCGUAAAGGUUUAGUGCAGACCGUGCCGCUAGCAGCACAAUUUAGAGAAAUUUUUUGAUUGCGUCAAAAGAAACUUUUAAUUUCGAAUCAAAUCGAUAAUUGGAAGAUACGGUAUAACGCGUCUGGUGAAAGACCAGACAAUCAUUCCUUGAAAAUAACGGCGAGAAAUCAAAGUUAUAGGGUCAAGCGAAUAAGAGCACAUGGUGGAUGCCUUGGCAAUGAUAGGCGACGAAAGACGUGAUAGCCUGCGAUAAGCUUCGGGGAGCUGGCAAAUUAGCUUUGAUCCGGAGAUUUCUGAAUGGGGGAACCCACCGAAAGGUAUCGCAUGCUGAAUACAUAGGCAUGCGAGGCGAACCGGGUGAACUGAAACAUCUCAGUAGCUCGAGGAAAAGACAUCAACCGAGAUUCCGAAAGUAGUGGCGAGCGAAA